GUGUCAGCAGCCGCGGUAAUACGAAGGGGGCUAGCGUUGUUCGGAAUCACUGGGCGUAAAGGGCGCGUAGGCGGCCGUUCAAGUCGGGGGUGAAAGCCUGUGGCUCAACCACAGAAUUGCCUUCGAUACUGGAUGGCUCGAGACCGGAAGAGGUUGGUGGAACUGCGAGUGUAGAGGUGAAAUUCGUAGAUAUUCGCAAGAACACCGGUGGCGAAGGCGGCCAACUGGUCCGGUUCUGACGCUGAGGCGCGAAAGCGUGGGGAGCAAACAGGAUUAGAUACCCUGGUAGUCC
rnacentral:rRNA from 1 species